ensembl:snRNA LOC120099409 U6 spliceosomal RNA
GUGCUUGCUUCAGCAGUACAUGUACUUAAAUUAGAACUAUAGAGAGAAAAUUAGCAUGACCCAUUCACAACCAUGACACACAAAUUCAUGAAGCAUUCCGUAUUUUU